UCAGCAAUUUCAGGUCUGGCGAAGCUAAUGUGUUAAUUAAAUUUGGUAAAGAAAACCGAUUGCCAUAACAGUAUGUCUUGUUUUAUUAUUCUGCAGCACUUGCUUCUCUGCUAUGUAUUCAGACUGCUAGCUCUGUGAUUAAGUGAUUGUUUUGACAGUUAAGGGCACCUUCAUUAUACCUCCACAACACUGGAACCAUAGAUAUAACCUGCUGUAUGCAAUGCAGACUCAUAAUAUACAGAUUUACAGGUUAAAGAAUUGCCUGCGCAACUGAAGUCGAGUCCUUCUGGACCCACUCUUCCCAAUUACUUCACCACCACGCGACAUGCGAUCAGCGUACUACCAGUUUCUGAGGCCAACUCAUUUUCAAUUCAAUGGGUCAGCUAUUUAAGAGAAGAUGUCUCCAGAAGAAACAACACUACCUCUACUGGAAUUUGGAUGAGAUUCAGACAACAGGAUAGGGUAUUCAACAUGUCUUUCUCCAAACUAAAACGUGGUUACCCUAAUUCCACUUUGGCAUCUCACAUUUGUAGUGUUUCCGCUUGAGAAAGAUAACUAAUUGUAGGGCUUCUCUAUCCUUGCUUUAUGCCAAAAAGUGAAUCUGUUCAUCUACGAUAGAUCAUUGAAAUGAGUGGUUUUCUGGCAUUCCCAUACAAGUGCCUAAUAGUUCCUAAUAGUUUGUUUGUUUUAUAACCAAAUAUUGCACUUUGAAAGCAGUGUAGUAAUUUUCUAAUGGCCUAAGCACAGGAAUAUGAGUCAUUCAUGUUGGAGUUACUUCGCAGUUAAACAUUACCAUUCUUUCCACAUAAACAAUCCUGCAAAGCUGUACAUAACAGCUUUCUGUUUAAAUUACUUACCUGGUAACUUAAAUCACUGAAGCCAAAGGUGCAAUUUCAAAUCUUCAGCUUGCAAUUUUAACUGUUAAAUAUCAGGUGAUUGACAGGGCUAAAUAAAAGCCAGUAUAACGUGCAACUAUAAACACAGCUAUCUGUUUGUUGUAUGCACAGGCAACCGUUCGAUUUUCUUCCACACUUCCAAGAUACUCGAUGAAAAUCUAAAUUAAUUUUUUUUUUUUUUCACAUUUUGCACCUCACAAUUUGUUUCUUCUGUGGGAUUUUCUCUGGUCGGUUUUGAAACAAUUAAAUCGUUCAUAACAUGUGUCCACAAAAUUAAUAUAAACAAAAUAAAUGCAUUUAUAAAAGUAUUAAAUCAAGGUAGAACAACAUGUUCAGCUGUGCAACUGGUUACUUGUGUGUUUUAUUUGUUAAAUCUUCCUCUAUUGGAAUUCUGUAUAUCAUUGCUUCUGCGUUUUGAAAAAUUGACCAGAGUAAUACUUCUUUGUAGAAUGUAUGCCUGAGCAGAUCAAAGUUUAUUUCUAUCGCAGAGCCCAAUAACAACAAAUGGCUAACUGUAACCCAUUAGCCAUGAUUUCGACAAGAAUGUGUGACGCAGCCCCCUUCACCAGGCAUUUUAAUUAACAGCCAGUACAGCAGUUAUUUUUGCUUUGUUUCACGACUCUUCCUGUACCCCUUUAUGUCUUAAUUGAUCGGCUACCCACAGGAAACUCACUGUGCUGCAUGUUGUGUUUUCAUUUAACCCCUUAAAAAUAUAUAUUUGUCAGUCUUUUAUCUAAAUAUAUACUGCUGUAUAGUACUCUAAGAACAUUACAAAACAUUAAACAUGAUUGUAGUAAACAUCACGUAAACAUAAAAACAAGUAAAUACAUCAGUAAUACUGUACUACAGAGUAAGGAUGGGAGAGAUGCAACAAACCUUAAAAGUACAAUAAUUAUUUUGUUUUACAAAGUGUCAGAUUGUGCACUGUAGGAAUACUACACUGAAGACUGAUGGCAGAUUGUAACAAUGUGACUGACUAACAAAGUAUUACAUAGAAAACGUGGUCAGAGCAACUGGAGGAAAAUCCUGUUGAUUCAAAAUGGACAAAACGGAAAGGGGGGGGGGGGGGGGGGGGGUAAUUCAGUGCACACUAAUAUCUCCGAUAUGUGUACGCAAAAGUUUAACUUAUAUAAUUAUGUGUUUGUAGGUCAUAUUAGUUUAAGGACACUGUAAUAUAAAGAAACCCAUUGUGUUUACAUUUCAGGACCAUGCAGUAAACCGGUUUACAAUACUUGUUGAUCACAAACACUUAGUUGUAAUUCAUGACUUAAGAGAACAUUUUAUAAAUAGGUAUUCUUUUAUAAUGCAAAUAUAAUAAAUGCCUUUGCUGGACAUGUUGCCAUUUGGUUUUUAUCCAAAAUAGUGUUACAUACUGUACGACAUACAUUUUUGUUUAUUAUUAUUAUUUACUGGU